rnacentral:lncRNA from 1 species
CCAGCGGAAAAAUGCCACAAAAACACGUGGGCUAUAGCCUUGGGGGGUGGGGCUGGCCAAGUUCGUCCGCCGGACUCGGAAUGGGACGAGACUUUGCGAGCGGCCUCCGUGUGCCAAAAACAGGCCGUGGGCACAGCAGCGUACAUAGCAGUGGGCACAGCCGUGCCCAAAAAUAACCGCCCGAAGGUCGGGGCGCCAAGUUCGUCCAACGGAAAAAGGCCACAAAAACGGGUGGGCUAAAGCCUUGGGGGGUGGGGCUGGCCAAGUUCGUCCGCCGGACUCGGAAUGGGGUGACACUUUUCGAGCGGCCUCCGUGUGGCAAAAAUAGGCCGCGUGCUCAGCCGCGCCCAAAAAUAACCUCCUGAAGGCCAGGGCGCCAAGUUCGUCCAGCGGAAAAAGGCCACAAAAACGGGUGGGCUAUGGCCUUGGGGGGUGGGGCCGGCCAAGUUCGUCCGCCGGACUCGGAAUGGGAUGAGACUUUGCGAGCGGCCUCCGUGUGUAAAAAAUAGGCCGCGGGUACAGACGGGCCCAAAAAUAACCUCCCGAAGGCCGGGGCGUCAAGUUCGUCCAGCGGAAAAAUGCCACAAAAACACGUGGGCUAUAGCCUUGGGGGGUGGGGCUGGCCAAGUUCGUCCGCCGGACUCGGAAUGGGACGAGACUUUGCGAGCGGCCUCCGUGUGCCAAAAACAGGCCGUGGGCACAGCAGCGUACAUAGCAGUGGGCACAGCCGUGCCCAAAAAUAACCGCCCGAAGGUCGGGGCGCCAAGUUCGUCCAGCGGAAAAAGGCCACAAAAACGGGUGGGCUAAAGCCUUGGGGGGUGGGGCUGGCCAAGUUCGUCCGCCGGACUCGGAAUGGGGUGACACUUUUCGAGCGGCCUCCGUGUGCCAAAAAUAGGCCGCGUGCUCAGCCGCGCCCAAAAAUAACCUCCUGAAGGCCGGGGCGCCAAGUU